UACAGAGGUCUCGAGCGUUGUUCGGAUUCAUUGGGCGUAAAGGGUGCGUAGGUGGCGCUGUAAGUCGGGUGUGAAAUCCUGGGGCUUAACCCCGGAACUGCAUUCGAUACUGCCGUGCUUGAGGACUGGAGAGGAGACUGGAAUUUACGGUGUAGCGGUGAAAUGCGUAGAUAUCGUAAGGAAGACCAGUGGCGAAGGCGGGUCUCUGGACAGUUCCUGACGCUGAGGCACGAAGGUCAGGGGAGCAAACGGG
rnacentral:rRNA from 1 species